CACUGCCGUUAUAUCGUACAGUUAGAUCACGCGGCACAGUAUUGCAGAUCAUAUUGUUCGUGUGCGCGCGUUUUUCAGUCGUUGCACAAAGAAAAUAUUCAACCAAGAUUACAUAUGAAGACUACAUUCUAUGACAGGUGCGUUGACCUAUACACAUCGUGUCGUUAUUACAGUUCAUAUUCAUCCGCUGCACAAUAAUUUUUUUACAGAUCAGACGUGACCCGUCGAGUAAUUGGUCCACGUGCAGUUCGUUUUUUACAUUCCGUGGAAGCUUGGUUGCAGAACCUUGGACGGCACAUAGCUGGCGUCGAUCCUUGGACAGUCCAGGUGGAGGCGCGCGCUGAAAGAAGAGUUCUUCUGUCUUCAACUGCGUCACUGGAACCGCUGAAAUGAAAAUUUCUAUACUACUUAUUAUCUGUGUUGUAACAACAGAGUUUUUCGAGUUGCUUAGCAAUAUUUUGAUGGGUAUGACUUUGACAUUAUUCAGCAUGAAAUGCUCUAAGAUCUCGGUGUGCGUAUAGCCCAAUAAUUUUGUUAGUUCUAGGAUGUUGUAACAGAUACGCACCAGGAUGGGGUAUGUUAACAAUUAUAUACGGUCCUUCAUAUAGCAGACGCCACUUAGCGUUGCGUCGUUUGAGUGCUACAGAUUUAUGAUGAGUACGAAGUAGUACAAGCAUUCCUACCUCGAAUUUUUGUUUUCUUUUUAUUAUGUUUCUGUGAUGUUUGUUUCGUAUUUGUGCGUGAUGUGUCAAUGUAGUCAAUACUUCUUUUAUUUUCUGUUCAGGUGUGAUUUCCUUGUCUGACA